UACGGGGGGGGGCAAGCGUUGUUCGGAAUUACUGGGCGUAAAGGGCUCGUAGGUGGCCAACUAAGUCAGACGUGAAAUCCCUCAGCUUAACCGGGGAACUGCAUCUGAUACUGGAUGGCUUGAGAUUGGGAGAGGGAUGCGGAAUUCCAGGUGUAGCGGUGAAAUGCGUAGAUAUCUGGAGGAACACCGGUGGCGAAGGCGGCAUCCUGGACCAACACUGACGCUGAGGAGCGAAAGCCAGGGGAGCAAAGCGGG
rnacentral:rRNA from 1 species